rnacentral:rRNA from 1 species
UACGAAGGGGGCUAGCGUUGCUCGGAAUUACUGGGCGUAAAGGGCGCGUAGGCGGACAGUUUAGUCAGAGGUGAAAGCCCAGGGCUCAACCUUGGAAUUGCCUUUGAUACUGGCUGUCUUGAGUUCGGGAGAGGUGAGUGGAAUGCCGAGUGUAGAGGGUGAAAUUCGUAGAUAUUCGGCGGAACACCAGUGGCGAAGGCGACUCACUGGCCCGAUACUGACGCUGAGGCGCGAAAGCGUGGGAGCAAACAGGG